GUUUCAGCAGCCGCGGUAAUACGAGGGGGGCAAGCGUUGUUCGGAAUUAUUGGGCGUAAAGGGUGCGUAGGCGGUUUGGUAAGUCUGAUGUGAAAUCUAUGGGCUCAACUCAUAGUCUGCAUCGGAAACUGCCGGGCUUGAGUGUGGGAGAGGUGAGUGGAAUUCCUGGUGUAGCGGUGAAAUGCGUAGAUAUCAGGAGGAACACCUGUGGCGAAAGCGGCUCACUGGACCAUAACUGACGCUGAUGCACGAAAGCUAGGGGAGCAAACAGGAUUAGAUACCCCCGUAGUCC
rnacentral:rRNA from 1 species